rnacentral:misc_RNA from 1 species
GAAAUGCGAUAAGUAAUGUGAAUUGCAGAAUUCAGUGAAUCAUCGAAUCUUUGAACGCACAUUGCGCCCGCCAGUAUUCUGGCGGGCAUGCCUGUUCGAGCGUCAUUUCAACCAUCAAGCCCCGCGCUUGUGUUGGGGACCUGCGGCUGCCGCAGGCCCUGAAAACCAGUGGCGGGCUCGCUGUCACACCGGGCGUAGUAGAUUUUAUCUCGCUCAGGGCGUGCUGCGGGUUCCGGCCGUUAAAAAGCCUUUUUUACCCAAGGUUGACCUCGGAUCAAGUAGGAAGACCCGCUGAACUUAAGC